AUGAAAAGAGUGGCUGAACCAGACCAAGUAUAGGUCUGAGCUUCAUGCUGGAAAUGAUAUAAUUCUUGGGCAUUUAGAGAUCACUUUUCUGGUUACAGAAAAGAGAAGAAGAUACCAGAAGGUUAGAAAUAAUCACCGACCUUUCUACUAACUCUACCCCGUCUAAGAGGCAAAGUUGAGAAAACAUUAAUGACUCCUGCCUCACAUGCCUUCUUUCCCAUCUCUACAAAAUCUUCAUGAAAAUAAUCUACAAAUAUAUCUUUGCAAGAGGACAAGAAAGGAACAGUCUACUGGGAUCUAGUUUUGUCUGCCUGCCUCUGUGAAUGUCU
rnacentral:lncRNA from 1 species